AUAAUGAUACUUCUGCCCAGCCACAGACAUCGCAAUGGGGGCAGCCAGCGGAGAUCCCGGUGGAGGUGAAAUUCCUAUGA
rfam:Tissierella praeacuta DSM 18095 genome assembly, contig: EK13DRAFT_scaffold00010.10